rnacentral:tRNA from 1 species
GGCGUUAUCAGCACCAGUGGUGAGUAUCCCCGCCUGUCACGCGGGAGACCGGGGUUCGAUUCCCCGUACGGGCCA